rnacentral:rRNA from 1 species
CCUACGGGGGGCUGCAGUGGGGAAUAUUGCACAAUGGGCGCAAGCCUGAUGCAGCCAUGCCGCGUGUGUGAAGAAGGCCUUCGGGUUGUAAAGCACUUUAAGCGAGGAGGAAGGUGGUGAGCUUAAUACGCUCAUCAUUGGACGUUACUCGCAGAAGAAGCACCGGCUAACUCCGUGCCGCCAGCGGGGGUAAUACGGAGGGUGCAGGCGUUAAUCGGAAUUACUGGGCGUAAAGCGCACGCAGGCGGUUUGUUAAGUCAGAUGUGAAAUCCCCGGGCUCAACCUGGGAACUGCAUUUGAAACUGGCAAGCUAGAGUCUCGUAGAGGGGGGUAGAAUUCCAGGUGUAGCGGUGAAAUGCGUAGAGAUCUGGAGGAAUACCGGUGGCGAAGGCGGCCCCCUGGACGAAGACUGACGCUCAGGUGCGAAAGCGUGGGGAGCAAACAGGAUUAGAUACCCUAGUAGUC